AGAGUUUGAUCAUGGCUCAGAACGUACGCUGGCGGCACGCCUUAUACAUGCAAGUCGAACGAAGUAGCAAUACUUAGUGGCAGACGGGUGAGUAACAUGUAGGUAUCUACCCUUUGGUGAGGAAUAACACGAGGAAACUUGUGCUAAUACCUCAUAAGUCUUUACGGAGAAAGCUUUAUGCGCCGAAGGAUGAGCCUGCACUUGAUUAGUUUGUUGGUGGGGUAAUGGCCUACCAAGACUUUGAUCUAUAGCUGAUCUGAGAGGAUGAUCAGCCACAUUGGGACUGAGACACGGCCCAAACUCCUACGGGAGGCAGCAGUAGGGAAUAUUGCACAAUGGAGGAAACUCUGAUGCAGCGAUGCCGCGUGAGUGAAGAAGGCCUUUGGGUUGUAAAGCUCUUUCGUCGGGGAAGAAAAUGACUGUACCCGAAUAAGAAGGUCCGGCUAACUUCGUGCCAGCAGCCGCGGUAAUACGAAGGGACCUAGCGUAGUUCGGAAUUACUGGGCUUAAAGAGUUCGUAGGUGGUUAAAAAAGUUGGUGGUGAAAUCCCAGAGCUUAACUCUGGAACUGCCAUCAAAACUUUUUAGCUAGAGUAUGAUAGAGGAAAGCAGAAUUUCUAGUGUAGAGGUGAAAUUCGUAGAUAUUAGAAAGAAUACCAAUUGCGAAGGCAGCUUUCUGGAUCAUUACUGACGCUGAGGAACGAAAGCAUGGGUAGCGAAGAGGAUUAGAUACCCUCGUAGUCCAUGCCGUAAACGAUGUGUGUUAGACGUUGGAAAUUUAUUUCCAGUGUCGCAGCGAAAGCGUUAAACACACCGCCUGGGGAGUACGACCGCAAGGUUAAAACUCAAAUGAAUUGACGGGGACCCGCACAAGUAGUGAGCAUGUGGUU
rnacentral:rRNA from 1 species